GUGGGGAAUCUUGCGCAAUGGGCGAAAGCCUGACGCAGCCAUGCCGCGUGAAUGAUGAAGGUCUUAGGAUUGUAAAAUUCUUUCACCGGGGACGAUAAUGACGGUACCCGGAGAAGAAGCUCCGGCUAACUUCGUGCCAGCAGCCGCGGUAAUACGAAGGGGGCUAGCGUUGCUCGGAAUUACUGGGCGUAAAGGGCGCGUAGGCGGACAGUUUAGUCAGAGGUGAAAGCCCAGGGCUCAACCUUGGAAUUGCCUUUGAUACUGGCUGGAUUGAGUACGGGAGAGGUGAGUGGAACUCCGAGUGUAGAGGUGAAAUUCGUAGAUAUUCGGAAGAACACCAGUGGCGAAGGCGACUCACUGGCCCGUUACUGACGCUGAGGCGCGAAAGCGUGGGGAGCAAACAGGAUUAGAUACCCUUGUAGUCC
rnacentral:rRNA from 1 species